rnacentral:lncRNA from 1 species
CCGCGCGCCCGCGCGCGCGGGUGCUCCAAGGAGUCGGAGGAACGCGGCCGCGCGACGGGCCCCGGACGCCGAGGGUGGUGCUUCCUCCGAGCCUCCGGUGGUGAGGCCGCUCUCAGAAGGUCAUGGAAGCGCAGGGGAGAGCGAGGCGGCCGAGCCCAGGCAAAUCCUCGAGAAAGGCCGAGUGCGCGACGGCUCUGCGGGGAGGACCGCGCCUCCCCGAAUGCGGCCGCUGCUGCCGCUGCAAACAGUGCCUUGAGGAGAGGAAAGCGGGGAACCGUGUUUUCGCCGCCUCUGUAACCACUGCACACAAGAAAACCAGCUUCUGGGAGAGGGGGAUGAUUGUUGGGACUUUGCGAAUUACCUAAACAGCCCAGGGCCGAGGCGCCGCCGCUCGCGUCCUGGUCCUCCUGCCGGGUGUGGGGCUCCCCUGCCCGAGAUGGCCAGCGGGCGCGCCGAGAGUAUCCUGGAGCCAUCUAGUCUUGCCUCGGAGGCGGGGUGGGCUUAUUUGUGCGGAGAAGAAACGGAUCUCUUAAUGGGGUGAGAUUUUUCCUCCGUACAUUGUUCCCAUUUCCGCAGUUUCACUUGGCCUCGGUUUUCUAGCAGAGUAAUCACCAAAUGAAAUUAGCUGGAGAGCGUUUGAUGGCGCAGAAUCACGGUCUGAAGAUGUUUACGCUGUAUGCCGGACGCGUUUGAUGGUGUUCUCUUCGGCACAAUUAAUUUUGCAAAGUUCAGAAAUGUGCCAGACAGAGCCCCUGGCACGCAGUCAGGACUCUACAGACACACCUUGAGUAGGAAACAGGCUUGUUUGUUUCAUCUGUGAUUUAUGUGAUGCACCAGCACCAAGGCCAACGUGUUUUUUAAAGACCUUUCGAUGAAACUCCAAAGCAAUUUAUAAAUUGGCAAAAUGAAGCUUGUUUUGUAAAAUAACUCUUCCUUGUUGAUCAUGUAAUUAAAUGGGCAACAAAACACCUGAAAGGACAUUUACUGAAAAGUAGACUCCCAAAACAAAAAUAUGUAUUUCACAGCUAGAUACGGUCGCUAUUAGCGUCCUAAUGGCCAACUCCAUCCAUGUGCGUAUUUUGAACACUAAAAACGCCUCCUGUUACCCCUAAGACCUUGUUUGGAUAACAUUUUUCUAUUAUAAGUACUCGAAACCAACCCCAUUUAAGAUGUUUACCCUUAUUCUUGAGUCCUUGAUGGUUUGGGAAAUUUAUCAUUAUUCAUAUUGCACAAUCCUGUCACUGUCUUUUCCAUUAGGCACAGUGCCUAAGGUCCACAAUAUUUUUAGAGGCCCACAAAAAAUAUUUUAAUUUCUUUUCAAAUCAGAAGGAAAAAAAAUUUAGGUUUAAGAAAGUAUUUUAAUAUAUAUUAAUAUAUUUGUUUUUGUGCUAAUACAAUCUUAAAAUGUAUGUAUAUAUGUGUGUGUGUAUAUGUAUAUAUAUUUUAAUGGAGUAAGGGGCUCAACGAAGGCAAAAAGGCCUAGAGCCCAAGAAAAACAUGAUGUGGCCCUGUUGCCUGGGGUUGAAAAAUCCCAUUCCAUGAGAAGAAUUUAGUUUUAAGAAUAUUACAUAAAAUGCUCAUUUCUGUGGCCUUGCUAUAAUAGAAAGAUGGAGAUUCAGAGUAGUGAUAAUGGCUAACAUCCACCUGAUACACACCAUGUGUCCAUUACCUCUUAAUCCUCACAGCACACCUGUGAAAUAGGUACUAUUCUCACACUUAGGGGGUAAUGCAGGUUUUGUGGGGCCUGCAAUUUAUGCAAUUUGGGUGGUCCUCUUAAAGAAAAAGCAAAUACUGUGUAUUAGUCCGUUCUCACACUGCUAUAAAGAACUGCGCGAGACUGGGUAAUUUAUAAAGGAAAGAGGUUUAAUUGACUCACAGUUCCACAUGGCUGGGGAGACCUCAGGAAACUUAACAAUCGUGGUGGAAGGAGAAGCAAGUACCUUCUUCACAAGGAAGCGGAAAGAAUUGUGAGCGGAGGAACUUGCCAAACACAAAACCGUCAGAUCGCGUGAGAAUUCAGUUACUAUCACGAGAACAACACGGGAAAACUGUCCCCAUAAUCAAGUCAUUUCUCUCCCUAACAAGUGAGGAUUACAAUUCAAGAUGAGGUUUGGGUAGGAACACAAAGCCUGACCCUAUCCCACAGCAUGUCCAGGCUGCCCUAGCACCACCCAAUAGAAGGGAAAAUGGCAGAGGGAAAGUCCUAGUGGAAAGAGACCUCAGUCUCAGCUAAUUGUGGUGACAAUAUAUUGCUUUUGCAAAUUGUACAUAAACAUAUGACCAGGUGAAUGUAUCGCCAAGGCUCCUGCCAAGGCCUGGGAUGGAGGCCUAGAGAAGAUGCCCGAAAGUUUAUGCUGUGUGAGCUUCACAGAAGACCUGCCUUCCAUGUAUACCCAUUUUACAGAGACUGAAGACUGAGGAAGACCAUCUCUGUAGGAUGCC